CCUACGGGCGGCAGCAGUGGGGAAUAUUGCACAAUGGGCGCAAGCCUGAUGCAGCCAUGCCGCGUGUGUGAAGAAGGCCUUCGGGUUGUAAAGCACUUUAAGCGGGGAGGAAGGCGGUGAGGUUAAUAACCUCAUCGAUUGACGUUACCCGCAGAAGAAGCACCGGCUAACUCCGUGCCAGCAGCCGCGGUAAUACGGAGGGUGCAAGCGUUAAUCGGAAUUACUGGGCGUAAAGCGCACGCAGGCGGUCUGUCAAGUCGGAUGUGAAAUCCCCGGGCUCAACCUGGGAACUACAUUCGAAACUGGCAGGCUAGAGUCUUGUAGAGGGGGGUAGAAUUCCAGGUGUAGCGGUGAAAUGCGUAGAGAUCUGGAGGAAUACCGGUGGCGAAGGCGGCCCCCUGGACAAAGACUGACGCUCAGGUGCGAAAGCGUGGGUAGCAAACAGGAUUAGAUACCCCGGUAGUC
rnacentral:rRNA from 1 species